rnacentral:rRNA from 1 species
UACGUAGGGUGCGAGCGUUGUCCGGAAUUAUUGGGCGUAAAGAGUUCGUAGGCGGUGUGUCGCGUCGGUCGUGAAAACUUGGGGCUUAACUCUGAGCUUGCGGUCGAUACGGGCAUCACUGGAGUUCGGCAGGGGAGACUGGAAUUCCUGGUGUAGCGGUGAAAUGCGCAGAUAUCAGGAGGAACACCGGUGGCGAAGGCGGGUCUC